GAUGAACGCUGGCGGCGUGCCUAAUACAUGCAAGUCGAGCGAACAGACGAGGAGCUUGCUCCUCUGACGUUAGCGGCGGACGGGUGAGUAACACGUGGAUAACCUACCUAUAAGACUGGGAUAACUUCGGGAAACCGGAGCUAAUACCGGAUAAUAUAUUGAACCGCAUGGUUCAAUAGUGAAAGACGGUUUUGCUGUCACUUAUCGAUGGUUCCGGGCCGCAUUAGCUAGUUGGUAAGGUAACGGCUUACCAAGGCAACGAUGCGUAGCCGACCUGAGAGGGUGAUCGGCCACAUUGGAGCUGAGACAGGGUCCAGAGUCCUGCGGGAGGCAGCAGUAGGGAAUCUGCCGCAAUGGGCGAAAGCCUGACGGAGCAACGGCGCGUGAGUGAUGAAGGUGUUCGGAUCGUAAAACUCUGUUAUUAGGGAAAAACAGAUGUGUAAGUAACUGUGCACGUCUUGACGGUACCGAAUCAGAAAGCCACGGCUAACUACGUG
rnacentral:rRNA from 1 species